rnacentral:rRNA from 1 species
UACGUAGGGGUGCAAGCGUUUGUCCGGAAUUAUUGGGCGUAAAAGGAGCUCGUAGGCGGCCUGUCGCGUCGGUUGUGAAAGCCCGGGGCUCAACCCCGGGUCUGCAGUUCGAUACGGGCAGGCUAGAGUUCGGUGAGGGGAGAUCGGAAUUCCUGGUGUAGCGGUGAAAUGACGCAGAUAUCAGGAGGAACACCGGUGGCGAAGGCGGAUCUCUGGGCCGAUACUGACGCUGAGGAGCGAAAGCGUGGGGAGCGAACAGG